rnacentral:miRNA from 1 species
CUCCAGAUGUUGCUGACCUACAACUCCCAUGAUUCUAUGAAUUAAAAAGAUAGGCUGAGAAUCAUGGGAGUUGUAGUUCAGCAACAUCUGGGG